rnacentral:lncRNA from 1 species
UUCUUUUCAAGUUGUUUUAUUUUUUGAAGGUGAUACAUUUCAAAACCAAAAUCACUUAGGACUUAUAGCCUUGCUAUGGAAAAAUAAAAGAUAUAUUUCCAACACUAUGUGGGAUGCCACACAUUUGAGGUUCUGACAGGAAUAUAAUCAGCAAAAAUAAACAGGAAUUUCUUUUAAUAGUUUCAUGUGGUAGUAAAAACAUUUGUUAAUACAAAUCUUUUCCUCUGUAGAUCUUUAAGAUCUUUACUAAGAUGGGGAAUAAAUGUAAUUCCCAUUACUUACAGCUUGCGAAAUUGAUACAACAGAGAGAAGAGCUGCCUUGCUCGAGGGAAAAGAGUUGGUUGAAGCCUAUAUCCCCAUUGCAGGAAUGGCAUUACAGCAAACUAUUCAACCUACAGACAAAUGAAGUUCUUCAAGUAGGUUUUGUUGUCACUGUCACUCAAGAAGCCUCACUGAGGGAAGGUGCAAGGCUGCAACAGAAGGCAGAAAAUUUGGCUGUAGGAUCAGCACUGAUUGUAGCACAAGCAGACUGCUGAGCAAAAGCAGAGAACAUAAUUUAUGUUUCUGGGAAACACAGACGAAAAAAGACUUACUGACUAGUUUUUGCACUUUAGCACAUCCUUAGCUGAAGAACCUUUGGACAUCACCUCUGCUUUGGUGGUCUGCUGCUUCAGAUGCUGUCUCAUAAAAUUUAUCUCCUGGACAAAAAAAAAAAAAAUAUAUUAAAAGCAAAUCUCGCAGUUUCAGGACAUACAGAUAAACUAAUGAUUUUUUUCUUCCAUGUGCCUAUCUGUUGAGGGACUUUUCUUCUAGAUACAUUGAAAAAUAAAAUGGAUAAUUUAUCUCA